rnacentral:rRNA from 1 species
GAUGAACGCUAGCGACAGGCCUAACACAUGCAAGUCGAGGGGCAUCGGGGCGAGGAGCAAUCCUUGCCGCCGGCGACCGGCGCACGGGUGAGUAACGCGUAUGCGACCUGCCCGUUGCAGGGGGAUAAUCGGGAGAAAUCCCGUCUAAUACCGCGUAACGCCGCGGGGCUGCAUGGCCCUGCGGCCAAAGGAAGCGAUUCCGGCAACGGAUGGGCAUGCGUGACAUUAGCUAGUUGGCGGGGCAACGGCCCACCAAGGCGACGAUGUCUAGGGGUUCUGAGAGGAAGGUCCCCCACACUGGUACUGAGACACGGACCAGACUCCUACGGGAGGCAGCAGUGAGGAAUAUUGGUCAAUGGGCGCGAGCCUGAACCAGCCAAGUCGCGUGAGGGAUGACGGCCCUACGGGUUGUAAACCUCUUUUGUCGGGGAGCAAAUUCCGCCACGUGUGGCGGAGUCGAGAGUACCCGAAGAAAAAGCAUCGGCUAACUCCGUGCCAGCAGCCGCGGUAAUACGGAGGAUGCGAGCGUUAUCCGGAUUUAUUGGGUUUAAAGGGUGCGUAGGCGGACUGUCAAGUCAGCGGUAAAAUACGGGGGCUCAACCUCCGCCCGCCGUUGAAACUGACGGUCUUGAGUGGGCGAGAAGUAUGCGGAAUGCGUGGUGUAGCGGUGAAAUGCAUAGAUAUCACGCAGAACUCCGAUUGCGAAGGCAGCAUACCGGCGCCCAACUGACGCUGAAGCACGAAAGCGUGGGUAUCGAACAGGAUUAGAUACCCUGGUAGUCCACGCAGUAAACGAUGAAUACUAGCUGUCCGGGGCGAAUGAGCCCUGGGUGGCACAGCGAAAGCGUUAAGUAUUCCACCUGGGGAGUACGCCGGCAACGGUGAAACUCAAAGGAAUUGACGGGGGCCCGCACAAGCGGAGGAACAUGUGGUUUAAUUCGAUGAUACGCGAGGAACCUUACCCGGGCUCAAACGACACAGGAACGGUCCUGAAAGGGGUCGGCUCUACGGAGCCUGUGUCGAGGUGCUGCAUGGUUGUCGUCAGCUCGUGCCGUGAGGUGUCGGCUUAAGUGCCAUAACGAGCGCAACCCCCAUCGACAGUUGCUAACAGGUUAAGCUGAGGACUCUGUCGAGACUGCCGGCGCAAGCUGCGAGGAAGGCGGGGAUGACGUCAAAUCAGCACGGCCCUUACGUCCGGGGCGACACACGUGUUACAAUGGCAGGUACAGCGGGAAGCCACCUGGCGACAGGGAGCGGAACCCGAAAGCCUGUCUCAGUUCGGAUUGGAGUCUGCAACCCGACUCCAUGAAGCUGGAUUCGCUAGUAAUCGCGCAUCAGCCACGGCGCGGUGAAUACGUUCCCGGGCCU